GUAACUUUUACUUCCCCCACUUUUGAACAAGAGGCAAUAGAGAAUUCCACUGAGAAAAGGAUGAAGAUCUCAAUAUGGCUUCCAGCUCACUGGACAGGCUUGUCAAAAUGAGGCUUGUCAGCAAGUCACCGAUGCACCUGGAAAAGGCCUUUGUCACACAGAAAGAGAUGCAACAUAGCUAGACAUUAACUGGGUAAAAACUGAUUGUCAGAUACUCCGCUGUGACCAUUUCUAAUAAAAGCAUGGGAAUGUCACGUUGUGUCUUACCCAUCAACUAGG
rnacentral:lncRNA from 1 species